rnacentral:rRNA from 1 species
UGGGGAAUAUUGCACAAUGGGCGCAAGCCUGAUGCAGCCAUGCCGCGUGUGUGAAGAAGGCCUUCGGGUUGUAAAGCACUUUCAGCGGGGAGGAAGGCGAUAAGGUUAAUAACCUUGUCGAUUGACGUUACCCGCAGAAGAAGCACCGGCUAACUCCGUGCCAGCAGCCGCGGUAAUACGGAGGGUGCAAGCGUUAAUCGGAAUUACUGGGCGUAAAGCGCACGCAGGCGGUUGAUUGAGUCAGAUGUGAAAUCCCCGGGCUUAACCCGGGAAUUGCAUCUGAUACUGGUCAGCUGGAGUCUUGUAGAGGGGGGUAGAAUUCCAUGUGUAGCGGUGAAAUGCGUAGAGAUGUGGAGGAAUACCGGUGGCGAAGGCGGCCCCCUGGACAAAGACUGACGCUCAGGUGCGAAAGCGUGGGGAGCAAACAGG